AUGUUUUAUGGGGAGGAGGAGGGAAGCGGCUGAGCAGGGCAAGAGCAAAAGUCCACUGCCUGGCAAGGACAGCCUAGACACGGGGGAAAGAAGGGACAUGGAGGGGCUGAGCCCUGUCACACGUCAUGCCCUGCAUGCCGGGCUGGACAUGGAGAAGCUGAGCGUGCAGUCUGGGGCUGAGGCUGGGAAGCCCUGAUACAUGGCUUAGAAGUGAGUUGGUGACAACUGGACGGUUCCCCAGCAGGGGCAAGCACCAGAGUGAUGGGAACAGCCCCUGCUGCCAGGAGCCCACGGGGGGAGUGUGCACGUGUGUGUGUGGUGUAUCCUGUGUGCACGUGGUACGUUCAUAGAUGUGUAGUGUCUGUGCAUGUGUGCAUGUGUGUGGGGUAUGAUCUUGUGUGUGGCAUAUGUUCAUGUGUGCGUGUGUGUGGUGUCUGCUUAUGUGUGCAUGUGUGUGUGGUGCUGUAGCUUCUAAUUCAGCCCAAGCCACAACUUAGACUUUUAAUGUUACGUUCAAACAAAACCAUUUGGAGACUCACUCACAGCUCUGAGGCUUUGGACGACGCCCGCUCAUCACCUGCCUUCCCCUCUGCUGAGUGCAAUGAAUUCAAGCUCCAUAAAGGCCACACAUGGAGCCCUGUGUGCGUCUACAGUUCUGGGUCCCGAGAUGAGGCGGUGAAACAGCAAACCCACACCCAGAACCCCUGCCCCAGGAGCCCCGGCCAGCAGGAGAGCAGGGCAGGGGUGCAAAGAGCAAGCCGGGGGUGGGGGCGGGAGAGGCAGAGCAGCAGGCUGGAGGCCGGGGCUCUGGUGGGAUUUUACGUUGAGCACGGGGUGAGCCUCUUGAAGGGUGAGGGCGUGUGUGGCCAUCCAGGUGGGGGUGGGGAGCGCAAAGGCCCUGGGGCAGGAGCAGGCCUGGAGCGCAGGCCACAGAGCCAGGGGCCGGGCCGCAGGUGAGUGAGCCAAAGGGAACCAAGAGGGGAUGGUGGAGGGAGCGGCCUGGCUGAGCAACCCGGGGCUUUGACCUUCUCAGGGGCAAUGGGAAGCCUGGAAUUGCAUGGGCUGGUGUGGAGGUCACCGUGACCUUGCCAGGCCUGGGGGUGCAGCCGCAGUGCCCAGGGAGGUGAGAAGGGGCUGGCCAGGCUGCCUGUUGUGAAGAGCAGAGAAGUGUGAGAGAGAUGUGGAGCAGGGCGUCUGGCUUUUCUCUGACCUGCGAUGGGCUGGUGGGAGCAGGAGCGAGCUGGCCUCACUGUGAAUGUGAAAAUGCUGGUUGGAGCCCACCACGGUGGGUACUUCCUUCAACGGCUAAAUGCGCCGAAGGCCUCCAAGCUUGACAGGGUUGAAUUUCCUCCGAGGCCCUGGGAGGGGCGCCCCGUGCUCCCUGGAUGGGGCCGACAUUCCUGGCCUGUCCCCAGCUGCGUCGCCUCUGCCCAGCCCUCAAUCACUGCAGCUCUCAAGUGGCCCUGGGUGCCGUGAUCUUGCUGAACUCUGAUGCUUUCCAAAUACCAUAAACUUAGUUUAUUUUCUGUCUGACAGAAACGGCGCCACUUAAGUCCUGCAAAGAACCCUUGGGUUCCACUCAGGCUGAGUUAUUCGGGGGCCACUGCUGAACGGUUUGCAUUUGUUUCCUCUGUGACAUCGGAGUGGGGAGGACGCUGCCUCCAGCACGGGGCCAGGGGCCAGGGCUGCUCACACAGAGCUGCUGGAGCCUACGGGGUCCCGGCUGUGGGUCCUGGGCUGCCCGCCCCCAGGAAGGGCACCUUGCCACCAUUGAAGUGGGGCGAGCUGAUUCGGGCACAGCUGGAAACCAGGAGGCAGCCAGCAGCAGCGGCCCUGAGCAAGAACAGGAACCCCAGGCUGAGGCGGGCGCAUCACACGAGACCAGCCUGGCCAACAUGGUGAAACCCCGUCUCUACUGAAAAUACAAAAAUUAGCCGGGCAUGGUGGCACGCACCUGUAAUCCCAGCUACUUGGGAGGGUGAGGCAGGAGAAUUGCUUGAACCCGGGAGGUGGCGGUUGCAGUGAGCCGAGAUUGUGCCACUGCACUCCGGCCUGGGCAACAGAGUAGGACUCUGUCUCAAAAAUAAAGAAGAAAGAAAGAAGGAGAGUCCGGAAGCCACUGCUGCCCCCACCAGCAGAGUGGAACUGUGAUUUCAUAGAACAGACACAGCCUGGCAGCGAGAAUGACCACAGUGCUCAUAGCCACUCAGGUGGAAUCUCAGGAACUCAAUGUCAGGAGGAGGAGUGGGGCCCUAAGGCCUGUGUGUGGGAGACAGUGGCCAUGGCGUCGAGCUCAAAGGCGAGCCGGGCGUGGCUGGGGAUGGGAAGGCGUGGCGCAGAGCCACGGGGAAGGCCCAGCCCAGACGCACACGAGGUCCAGAGACGGCAGCCUGCGAAGUGGAGGGAGGGUGGACGCCGGGGUGAUCACCCACUUUCCUAGACUGAGCGUUGGGCACAGGCUUUGUAUUGCUUCAGUCAUCAUCAUAUUUGAUGUAUGUUUGAUAAAUAUCCCUUUAAAAAUUAAAGACAGUUUGUUAAUU
rnacentral:sRNA from 1 species